UGGGGAAUAUUGGACAAUGGGCGCAAGCCUGAUCCAGCCAUGCCGCGUGAGUGACGAAGGCCUUAGGGUUGUAAAGCUCUUUCGUCGGGGACGAUAAUGACGGUACCCGAAGAAGAAGCUCCGGCUAACUUCGUGCCAGCAGCCGCGGUAAUACGAAGGGAGCUAGCGUUGUUCGGAAUCACUGGGCGUAAAGCGCACGUAGGCGGAUAGUUAAGUCAGGGGUGAAAUCCUGGGGCUCAACCCCAGAACUGCCUUUGAUACUGGCUGUCUCGAGGUCGAGAGAGGUUGGUGGAAUUCCUAGUGUAGAGGUGAAAUUCGUAGAUAUUAGGAAGAACACCAGUGGCGAAGGCGGCCAACUGGCUCGAUACUGACGCUGAGGUGCGAAAGCGUGGGGAGCAAACAGGAUUAGAUACCCACGUAGUCCCUGAGCGGGCUGGCAAGGCGCAU
rnacentral:rRNA from 1 species